UACGGAGGGUGCAAGCGUUAUCCGGAUUCACUGGGUUUAAAGGGUGCGUAGGAGGGCAGGGAAGUCAGUGGUGAAAUCUCCGGGCUUAACUCGGAAACUGCCGUUGAUACUCUCUGUCUUGAAUCCCGUGGAGGUGAGCGGAAUAUGUCAUGUAGCGGUGAAAUGCUUAGAUAUGACAUAGAACACCAAUUGCGAAGGCAGCUCGCUACACGAAGAUUGACUCUGAGGCACGAAAGCGUGGGGAGCAAACAGG
rnacentral:rRNA from 1 species